GAUGAACGCUGGCGGCGUGCCUAAUACAUGCAAGUCGAGCGAACAGACGAGGAGCUUGCUCCUCUGACGUUAGCGGCGGACGGGUGAGUAACACGUGGAUAACCUACCUAUAAUACGGGGAUAACUUCGGGAAACCGGAGCUAAUACCGGAUAAUAUAUUGAACCGCAUGGUUCAAUAGUGAAUGACGGUUUUGCUGUCACUUAUAGAUGGAUCCGCGCCGAAUUAGCUAGUUGGUAAGGUAACGGCUUACCAAGGCAACGAUGCGUAGCCGACCUGAGAGGGUGAUCGGCCACACUGGAACUGAGACACGGUCCAGACUCCUACGGGAGGCAGCAGUAGGGAAUCUUCCGCAAUGGGCGAAAGCCUGACGGAGCAACGCCGCGUGAGUGAUGAAGGUCUUCGGAUCGUAAAACUCUGUUAUUAGGGAAGAACAAAUGUGUAAGUAACUAUGCACGUCUUGACGGUACCUAAUCAGAAAGCCACGGCUAACUACGUG
rnacentral:rRNA from 1 species